AGAGUUUGAUCAUGGCUCAGGAUGAACGCUAGCGGUGUGCUUAAUGCAUGCAAGUCGAACGAGAUCUUUUGGAUUCGUCUGAAAGUGAGAGUGGCGGACGGGUGAGUAACGCGUUGGUGACCUGCCCCAGAGAGGGGGACAACCAUUGGAAACGAUGGCUAAUACCCCGGAUGUCAUUGUGUUUAGAAAUCAAUUACUGAAGCUCCGGCGCUCUGGGAGGGGCCUGCGUCCCAUCAGCUAGUUGGUAAGGUAAUGGCUUACCAAGGCAAAGACGGGUAGGGGGCGUGAGAGCGUGACCCCCCACACUGGUACUGAAACACGGACCAGAUACCUACGGGUAGCAGCAGCAAGGAAUAUUGCCCAAUGGACGAAAGUCUGAGGCAGCAACACCGCGUGGAGGACGAAGGCCUUCGGGUUGUAAACUCCUUUUCUGGGGGAAGAGAAUGGACGGUACCCCAGGAAUAAGGCCCGGCUAACUACGUGCCAGCAGCCGCGGUAAAACGUAGGGGUCGAGCGUUAUCCGGAUUUACUGGGCGUAAAGAGCAUGUAGGCGGUUGCUUUAGUCGGACGUGAAAGCUCCUGGCUUAACUAGGAGAGGCCGUUCGAAACUGAGCAACUCGAGGAUGGUAGAGGAGAGUGGAAUUCCCGGUGUAGUGGUGAAAUGCGUAGAUAUCGGGAGGAACACCAGUGGCGAAAGCGGCUCUCUGGGCCAUUCCUGACGCUGAGAUGCGAAAGCUAGGGGAGAGAACGGGAUUAGAAACCCCGGUAUUCCUAGCCGUAAACGAUGUCAACUAGGUGUAGGAGGUAUUGACCCCUUCUGUACUGCAGCAAACGCGUUAAGUUGACCGCCUGGGGACUACGGCCGCAAGGCUAAAACUCAAAGGAAUUGACGG
rnacentral:rRNA from 1 species